AACAGGCAGAUUACUAAGAUUCCCUUAGUAAUGGCGAAUGAACUGGGAAAAGCUCAAAUUUAAAAUCAUUUUAUUUUAUAAAAUGAAUUGUAGUUUAAAAAUAUAAAUUUCAAAAUAAUAUUAUAUUAAUUUAAUUGGAAAAUUAAAACAUAGAGGGUUAAAUUCCCGUAUAUAUAUAAUUAUUAUAUAAAAAUUUUAUAUUAAAGAGUCAGAUUGUUUGGGACUACAGUCUAAAUUAGGAGGUAAAUUUCUUUUAAGGCUAAAUAUUGGCAAGAGACCGAUAGCGAACAAGUACCGUAAGGGAAAGAUGAAAUAGAACCUUGUAAAGGGGUUUAAAAAGAAAGUGAAAUCGUUAAGAGGGAAACAUUUAAAACUUGAAAUAAAUAAUAAUGAAGAUAUAUCGAAAUAUAUUGAAUUUAUUAUUUUAAAUAUCAAUAAUUAUUAAAUUUUUAUAAAAAUUAUUAUAAUAAACAAACUUUAAAUUUCGAUUUAAAAUUAAAAAUUAUAAAUAAUUAUAAAAAUUUGAUAUUAAAUAUAAUCAUUUAUUACAUUUUCAUAUUUUUAAAAUUAGAUAAUAAUUUUUUUAAAUUACUAUUUAAUAUUUUAAAUACAAAUGAUAUGAUUUUUAUAUUGAUAAUAGAGUUUUAAAUGACCCGUCUUGAAACACGGACCAAGGAGUCUAACAUAUUGGCGAGUACUAUAAUUUUAAAAAUUAUAAUGCGUAAUGAAAGUAAAUUCAAGGUAGGAAUUUUUAUUAAUGCACUAUCGACCGAUUUCAUUAAGAUUCUUCUUAGAAAUUUGAGUUAGAGCAAAUAUGUUGGGACCCGAAAGAUGGUGAACUAUGCUUGAAUAGGGUGAAGCCAGAGGAAACUCUGGUGGAAGCUCGUAGCGAUUCUGACGUGCAAAUCGAUCGUAAAAUUUGGGUAUAGGGCGAAAGACUAAUCGAACCAUCUGGGAACC
rnacentral:rRNA from 2 species